rnacentral:rRNA from 1 species
CACGUAGGCGGAUUGACAAGUUGGGGGUGAAAGCCCGGAGCUCAACUCCGGAACUGCCUCCAAAACUGUCUGUCUAGAGUCCGGAAGAGGUGAGUGGAAUUCCUAGUGUAGAGGUGGAAUUCGUAGAUAUUAGGAAGAACACCAGUGGCGAAGGCGGCUCACUGGUCCGGUACUGACGCUGAGGUGCGAAAGUGUGGGGAGCAAACAGGAUUAGAUACCCUGGUAGUCC